AAGGUUACUUGUACUACCGUAAAAUUGGUUUGGCUUCUCCAAUAUCAUCUCCAACAGCGCUCCAGGCGUAGAACUCUUUGGAUGCAGCCCGCUGUUGGAAACUCGGCAAUCAGUUAAUAUGAAGUAUUAUGUCUGAAGAUCCAGGAAAAUAUCUUUUUUAAUUUCUCCAUAUGAAACUUGUUGUUCAAAGAGGAAGCUGGCUGCAGAACUCAACGGCCUCGGACUUGCUGAAAAAGCAAUUUGCCAGGAACUCAUACACCCUGGGAAAAAUGCAUAAUCCUGACUACGGAGUGUUCAGAGAUCGUGCGAGCUUCGCUGUUUGGAUUUGUUUUCCAUUGUGUUGUGUUUAUGUUAUUAGUAGUUUGAGAUGGUAACUACUGAUUGCACUGUGCCAUACUGAGAAGAGCUGUAUGAGUAUUUUUGUGGAAAGCUCUAGA